UCCAGACUCCUACGGGAGGCAGCAGUGGGGAAUAUUGGGCAAUGGGCGCAAGCCUGACCCAGCAACGCCGCGUGAAGGAAGAAGGCUUUCGGGUUGUAAACUUCUUUUCUCGGGGACGAACAGAUGACGGUACCUGAGGAAUAAGCCACGGCUAACUACGUGCCAGCAGCCGCGGUAAUACGUAGGUGGCAAGCGUUAUCCGGAUUUACUGGGUGUAAAGGGCGUGUAGGCGGGGACGCAAGUCAGAUGUGAAAACCACGGGCUCAACCUGUGGCCUGCAUUUGAAACUGUGUUUCUUGAGUGCUGGAGAGGCAAUCGGAAUUCCGUGUGUAGCGGUGAAAUGCGUAGAUAUACGGAGGAACACCAGUGGCGAAGGCGGGUUCCUGGACAUUAACUGACGCUGAGGCACGAAGGCCAGGGGAGCGAAAGGGAUUAGAUACCCCCGUACCC
rnacentral:rRNA from 1 species